rnacentral:rRNA from 1 species
CCUACGGGGGGCAGCAGUGGGGAAUAUUGGACAAUGGGGGCAACCCUGAUCCAGCCAUGCCGCGUGUGUGAAGAAGGCCCUCGGGUUGUAAAGCACUUUCAGUGAGGAAGAACGCCUGGUGGUUAAUACCCAUCAGGAAAGACAUCACUCACAGAAGAAGCACCGGCUAACUCCGUGCCAGCAGCCGCGGUAAUACGGAGGGUGCGAGCGUUAAUCGGAAUUACUGGGCGUAAAGCGCGCGUAGGUGGCUUGAUAAGCCGGUUGUGAAAGCCCCGGGCUCAACCUGGGAACGGCAUCCGGAACUGUCAAGCUAGAGUGCAGGAGAGGAAGGUGAAUUCCCGGUGUAGCGGUGAAAUGCGUAGAGAUCGGGAGGAAUACCAGUGGCGAAGGCGGCCUUCUGGACUGACACUGACACUGAGGUGCGAAAGCGUGGGUAGCAAACAGGAUUAGAUACCCUAGUAGUC